AGCAGUGUGGUGCAGUGGUUCGAGCAUUGCACUAUGACUCUGGAGAUCAGGGUUUGAAUCCCUGCGCAGCCA